CUUUGCAUGAAGCAUGGGCCAAGGGACUCUGCAGGAUGAGUGGUGAGCUACCAAAAUCUUGUGCCUCACUCUCACACACCUGAUGGUUUCUCCCUGUGCCUCUGAGAGGGCAGGCUCUGCCAAUCUUACAAGGUAUGAAGACUUUCAGGAUACUGAACUGGUUUUCUCUGACAAUCUUCUUAGAUCAUAGGGUCUUUACAGUCUUAGGAAAUGUAGUUGUGUUCCUCCUCCCAAAGAGAAACUGGAUUCAAAAGAACUCAAAAGAAAGCAUGAACUCAAAGAAAGCAUGGGGAUGCAAAGAGAAUCCCAGAAAGAAGACCCCUCCUGAUCUCUGUUAGAGAGUGUAUUAUUCUUCAGACCCCUUCUGAAAAACCCGAUGGAAGAGACAAAGAUUAAAGGACAAACACAACACACCUUGGUUAAUGUACCAAUGGAAUGACAACAAACAUUUGGUACAGGCCAGCUGGGUCUCUGCUGAAAAGGAAAAGUGAGUCAUUUUCUGUUGACAUCUUUGGAACACAUAAAGUGGAGGUUCCUGGAGACCAGGUAAAUAAAGAGAUAAAUAAAAUGAAGUUUCUAUUGCCCAUGGAUUUAGGAGGUGGAAGGGAAUGAAGUGCCUCCUGUCCUGAAGUAACAUUCCUUUCUCUCUGACAAAAACCUCGUAUAUCCUGCUCACAUACUCAAGAUUAAUCACCAAGCUAAGUUUGGGUUCAGGAGUGAAUUAUUUUCCAUCUGCAAUGAAAAGUGUCUAUCAGGACUUUGGUGCAGAAUGGGGUGGCAGGGGGAGUAUGGCAUCUCCUGUGGAAGUGUGGGAACAGUUCUUUGUUUUGGGUCCUCUGAGAGUGUUAUUCAUCUGGGACUUUUAUUCAACAGACCUCCUUCAAUAACUGAGAAUCUUGGACUUAGGUACAAACUCUUCUAUGCUUAUAAAAGUGUGUACAGUUAUAAAACUGGUGUUGAUUCUGACGUGAAUGACACCACCUGACAACACAUUCUUCGCUAUGAACACAGUAAUAAAAUUGCAUGGAUAAGGGAGUGUUAUGCACAUACCUUAUUGUCUCUAGGUUUCAAAAGCCACAUCCUACAGCCAUCGAAUG